AAUAUUGCACAAUGGGGGAAACCCUGAUGCAGCGACGCCGCGUGAGCGAAGAAGGCCUUCGGGUCGUAAAGCUCUUUCCUAAGGGAAGAAACGGACGGUACCUUAGGAGGAAGCCCCGGCUAACUACGUGCCAGCAGCCGCGGUAAUACGUAGGGGGCGAGCGUUAUCCGGAAUUACUGGGCGUAAAGGGUGUGUAGGCGGUUACAUAAGUCAGAUGUAAAAGGCUAAGGCUUAACCGUAGUUAGCAUUUGAAACUAAAAGGCUUGAGUGCAGGAGAGGAGAGUGGAAUUCCUAGUGUAGCGGUGAAAUGCGUAGAUAUUAGGAGGAACACCAGUGGCGAAGGCGACUCUCUGGACUGCAACUGACGCUGAGGCACGAAAGCGUGGGUAGCGAACAGG
rnacentral:rRNA from 1 species